rnacentral:rRNA from 1 species
GGGUGAGUAACACGUGGAUAACCUACCUAUAAGACUGGGAUAACUUCGGGAAACCGGAGCUAAUACCGGAUAACAUAUUGAACCGCAUGGUUCAAUAGUGAAAGGCGGCUUUGCUGUCACUUAUAGAUGGAUCCGCGCCGUAUUAGCUAGUUGGUAAGGUAACGGCUUACCAAGGCAACGAUACGUAGCCGACCUGAGAGGGUGAUCGGCCACACUGGAACUGAGACACGGUCCAG